CAAGUAGGCGGUGCACUACUUCUGCACUGUGUUCAACCAUUGCGUCAAUAAUAACUGCUGCUGUGAAGAGAACAAUUCUCAGACUGAAUGUUGAACAGCAGCUAGUUUCUCCUGUUGAUUUAAACCUUGUUGUAGAGAUGGAACAUUGGCUGUGGAUUAUUCUUGCUGCUCUUUUCUUUGAGUGUAAAGGAGAAGACAUAGUGAUCCAGCCAACAGGAGAUGUCAUUGCUACUGAAGGAGACACAGUGACACUUGGCUGUACAUUUGAUAACAGUGACCCAGGUCCCACUUUGUUCUGGUACAAACAGGAUGGAGACAACAGCCCCAAAUUCAUACUGAGCCGCUUUAAACUGGACGAAGGGAACACACCAGACGAGUUUAAGGAGAGAUUUUCGUCCACACUGGAUUCCACCUUAAAAUCAGUUCCUCUGAAGAUCCAGAAGCUUCAGCUGUCUGACUCUGCUGUGUACUACUGUGCUCUGCAGCCCACAGUGACAGGAAACACCAAGACUCUGUACAAA